AGCUGAUGAGUAUGGCAUGAGCUUGGGCAUAUUGGUCGGCUUUCAGAGUUCGCUUAGUUGCGAGUCCUUUCCCUACCGGGUUUGGAUGUGCGUUGCGCUCAUUAGGCGCUGUGCGCUCUGUCUGUUCCGGGCCUGCUCGUCAGUGCACUUCCUCAGGGUGUUCACCACGACCGGCGCUGCUGUCUGUCUGUUGCGGUCAAACCGGUUAGGCUUAGUCAUUUUGGCUAGGUCUGGUCGGGAUGGCAGGUGGCUCUUGAGUUCUUCUGGCUUCGGCUGGUUUGAGCUUUUGAGUGUAAUUAGCCGACUGUGACGGAUCUGUGCAGUGCGUCGGGGCUGGCGGCUUUGGUGUGUGUACGCGUGCUGUAGCUUACUGGCUUAGUCAGGUCUGGUUGGUGUGUUACCUGCUUUGGUGGGUCUGCCAAUGUCUUGGCUUUGCGUGGUGGGUGGUGGCGCGUGCGAUACUAGCUAGGGCCAAAAGUCUGUGGUGUUGUGGUAAACGAUCCACCCGACCCGUCUUGAAACACGGACCAAGGAGUUUAACAUGUACGCGAGUCAUUGGGCGUUACGAAACCCAAAGGCGCAGUGAAAGUAAAGGUUCGGCUUGUCCGAGCUGAGGUGAGAUCCUGCUGUUCCUCUGCCUUGGACUACCAAGCAAUCGAG
rnacentral:rRNA from 1 species